GACGAACGCUGGCGGCGUGCUUAACACAUGCAAGUCGAACGGAAGGACCUUAAUUUCUUGGGUUCACGGGUGGCGAACGGGGGAGGAACAAGGAAGUAACCGGCCCCUAACUUUUGGUGGAGGUUAAGGAAGUGGGGCUUAUACCAGUACCGCACACCACCUACGGGGGAGGGGAUGGGAAGUUUCGGCGGUUGGGGAUGGAAUCGCGGCUUAUCGGCUUGUUGGGGGGGUAGUGGCAUACCAAGGCUUUGCCGGGUAGCCGGCCUGGGAGGGUGACCGGCCACAUUGGGACUGAGAUACGGCCCAGACUCCUACGGGAGGCAGCAGUGGGGAAUAUUGCACAAUGGGCGGAAGUCUGAUGCAGCAACGCCGCAUGCGGGAUGACGGCCUUCGGGUUGUAAACCGCUUUCGCCUGUGACGAAGCGGGAGUGACGGUAAUGGGUAAAGAAGCACCGGCUAACUACGUG
rnacentral:rRNA from 1 species